rnacentral:snRNA from 1 species
GUACAUAUACUAAAAUUGAAACGAUACAGAGAAGAUUAGCAUGGCUAGACCGAGUUAGAACUCGCGAUAAUAGACUAAUUAA